rnacentral:lncRNA from 1 species
CUGAAAUACAAAGCAUGCCACUUGAUGACCGCAAUGAAGACAUGAAAGAACAAACUACACUUGAUGAUCACCAUGAGGAUGAGGAAAUGAGAGACACCACCUCAAUCAAGGAUCACCAAGAAGGGAAGGAUUUGAAAGACACAACCUCACUCGAGGAUCACCAUGAGGAGAAGGAUUUGAAAGACACAACCUCACUCGAGGAUCACCAUGAGGAGAAGGAUUUGAAAGACACAACUUCGCUGAAGAAUCACCAUGAGGAGAGAAAAACAGAUGAGGAAGAUCAAUGUUCUAAUAUAGAUUUGUCUGAGCAGUCUCCUAAAAAGUUGGAACAAACUACACUUG